rnacentral:rRNA from 1 species
ACGGGUGAGUAACGCGUGAGAAUCUGGCUUCAGGUCUGGGACAACCACUGGAAACGGUGGCUAAUACCGGAUGUGCCGAGAGGUGAAAGGCUUGCUGCCUGAAGAUGAGCUUGCGUCUGAUUAGCUAGUUGGUGGGGUAAGAGCCUACCAAGGCGACGAUCAGUAGCUGGUCUGAGAGGAUGAUCAGCCACACUGGGACUGAGACACGGCCCAGACUCCUACGGGAGGCAGCAGUGGGGAAUUUUCCGCAAUGGGCGAAAGCCUGACGGAGCAAUACCGCGUGAGGGAGGAAGGCUCUUGGGUUGUAAACCUCUUUUCUCAGGGAAGAAAAAAAUGACGGUACCUGAGGAAUAAGCAUCGGCUAACUCCGUGCCAGCAGCCGCGGUAAUACGGAGGAUGCAAGCGUUAUCCGGAAUGAUUGGGCGUAAAGGGUCCGCAGGUGGCUGUGUAAGUCUGCUGUUAAAUAGUCAUGCUCAACAUGAUAAAGGCAGUGGAAACUACAUAGCUAGAGUGCGUUCGGGGCAGAGGGAAUUCCUGGUGU